rnacentral:rRNA from 1 species
GACGAACGCUGGCGGCGUGCUUAACACAUGCAAGUCGAACGAUGAAACCGGAGCUUGCUCCGGUGGAUUAGUGGCGAACGGGUGAGUAACACGUGAGUAACCUGCCCUUGACUCUGGGAUAACUGCGGGAAACUGUAGCUAAUACCGGAUACGACCCUCGGCGGCAUCGCCAGGGGGUGGAAAGAAUUUCGGUCAAGGAUGGACUCGCGGCCUAUCAGCUAGUUGGUGAGGUAACGGCUCACCUAGGCGACGACGGGUAGCCGGCCUGAGAGGGUGACCGGCCACACUGGGACUGAGACACGGCCCAGACUCCUACGGGAGGCAGCAGUGGGGAAUAUUGCACAAUGGGUGCAAGCCUGGUGCAGCAACGCCGCGUGAGGGAUGACGGCCUUCGGGUUGUAAACCUCUUUUAGUAGGGAAGAAGCGAAAGUGACGGUACCUGCAGAAAAAGCACCGGCUAACUACGUGCCAGCAGCCGCAGUAA